AGCAGCAGAAAGAACCAAGGGCCAGGAGCAGGCAGCUGGACUCCGCACCCGGGCUUACACAGUUGGCACCGGGACAGAAUCCUGGUUUCCAAGCUGCUGCAACCUUGUCACGACCUUGGGUAACCUGCUCAUCUGAAGUGCACUAACAGGUUGCUGGGAUGAAAUCCUAAAGCCCAGCGUGCACAACACCGUUACUUUUUGGAGAAGACUCACAGGUCACAAGGUUCCAAAUCUGUAUGCAAUGCUUUAACACGGAAGCCGUAUCAUGCCAGUAUCUGACAAGGAAAUGGCUACAAUGACCUCAUCUGGAAUUUAACUCCUAAGAGAAUUACACAGAAUUAAGGACUAUAGCUCCUGAAGCCCCUGAAGGUGUUGCUAUUUGGUAUGUUGAACUAUACCGACGCACGAUGGAUGGAAACAUCCCUGCGUCUGGCGCAGACUGGCAGUGCUUCUGCUCUCACUUCACUGCUGGGCUCUGGAAAAAAAAGUUCCACAGCAAAGUCUGAGCUAAAUGAACCUCUCCAUCAAUGUUUGAAAUUAUGUAUUUCUAGCCAUUAGUAUUACUAAUACUAAUUAGUAACAGCUAAUUACUUAGCUAUUAAUAUAUUUAUUGUAUCUUUUAUGAAUUGGUCAAAAACCCAAAUUUUGCUGGGCAGGGUUUUCUUACCUGUUGAAAGAGAUGGGGAAAAUGGAAACCACAAAAGAAUUAAAUCUGAGAAUGGAUGAAGUCUGCUCUACACUGCACUGAGCUGAGUCUGGCAGGACUUCCUGACCUAGGUAUCUGCCUACUGCCAGGAGAACAAACGCACAGGCAUCCAGUGUGAGGAUGAGGCGCCUGCUACGCCUUUGCGCACGGUUCCACCGGACUGUGACGUCACUCUGGGCGGGAGUGCAGAUGCCAGCCUCGGUAUGCUGAAGCCUUUAUAUGCUGCUAUCAUUUAAUCAUUUGUUUUGCCUAAAACUAAACAAAAUCCUUAUUGUUGUACCCAAAAAAUGUUGAGAAUCACAGCUGUCAAUGAAGUAAAUGCUGAAAAAAAAUAGACCCUCAAAUGUAUUAAUUAAAAAAGUGAAUAUUCAAAUUUAAAAUGCCCAUUAACAACAAGGAUUCGAGGCACAGAUAGGAGUUAACCUAAUAAUUGCAUAUGAUCAGUGUUCCAGUUUUAUCUUUCUUUUUUUAAGUAUUUUAUUUAUUUAUUUUUAGAGAGGGGAAGGGAGAGAGAGAUGGAAACAUUAAUGUGGGGUUGCCUCUCACG